UCGCGUCGACGUGGGCGGUUCGCUGCUCGUGACGUCGCGAGAAGUUCACUGAACCUUAUCAUUUAGAGGAAGGAGAAGUCGUAAUAAGGUUUCCGUAGGUGAACCUGCGGAAGGAUCAUUGUCGAAACCUGCCCAACAGAACGACUCGAGAACAUGUUUCACACAUAAUGUAUGCAUUGGGGGUGUGCUCUCGGGUGCACAUCCCCAAUGUUCAACGAACCCCCGGCGCGGAACGCGCCAAGGAAUACUCAAACGAGAUUGCUGGGCUGUUGUGCCACGUUCGCGGGUGUGCGGCGGUGUUGGCAUCUUUAGUAACAAAAACGACUCUCGGCAACGGAUAUCUCGGCUCUCGCAUCGAUGAAGAACGUAGCGAAAUGCGAUACUUGGUGUGAAUUGCAGAAUCCCGUGAACCAUCGAGUCUUUGAACGCAAGUUGCGCCUGAAGCCGUCAGGGUGAGGGCACGUCUGCCUGGGCGUCACGCAUCGCGUCGUCCCCUCCAAUUGUGGAGCAAGGGGCGGAUGAUGGCCUCCCGUGCCCGAUUUGGAUGCGGUUGACUGAAAUGUUUGUCCUUGACGGUGGAUGUCAUGUUGAAUGGUGGUCGUACCUAGUGUGUAUAUCAUUUUGUCGUAGCCUGUCGUCCGAGGAUUUUUACCCUUUUAAGCUGGCGUGAGCUGACUCUCUGACCGCGACCCCAGGUUAGACGGGACUACCCGCUGAGUUUAAGCAUAUCAAUAAGC
rnacentral:rRNA from 1 species